GCCACGGUGGUCUAGCGGUUAGAACGCUGGCCUUGUAAUCCUGGGGUCUCGGGUUCGAUUCCCGGUGGCG
rnacentral:tRNA from 1 species